rnacentral:rRNA from 1 species
GAUGAACGCUGGCGGCGUGCUUAACACAUGCAAGUCGAACGGUGAAGCAGGAGCUUGCUCUUGUGGAUCAGUGGCGAACGGGUGAGUAACACGUGAGUAACCUGCCCCUGACUCUGGGAUAAGCGCUGGAAACGGCGUCUAAUACUGGAUAUGUGAUGUGACCGCAUGGUCUGCAUCUGGAAAGAAUUUCGGUUGGGGAUGGGCUCGCGGCCUAUCAGCUUGUUGGUGAGGUAAUGGCUCACCAAGGCGUCGACGGGUAGCCGGCCUGAGAGGGUGACCGGCCAAACUGGGACUGAGACACGGCCCAGACUCCUACGGGAGGCAGCAGUGGGGAAUAUUGCACAAUGGGCGGAAGCCUGAUGCAGCAACGCCGCGUGAGGGAUGACGGCCUUCGGGUUGUAAACCUCUUUUAGCAGGGAAGAAGCGAAAGUGACGGUACCUGCAGAAAAAGCACCGGCUAACUACGUGCCAGCCGCCGCAGUAA